rnacentral:rRNA from 1 species
ACGGAGGGAGCAAGCGUUGUUAGGAUUUACUGGGCGUAAAGGGCGUCUAGGCUGAUUUAAAAGUCAGAUGUGAAACCCCCCGGCUCAACCGGGGAUCUGAAUUUGAUACUGUAAGUCUUGAGUACGGAAGAGGAGAGCGGUAUUCCUGGUGUAGAGGUAAAAUGCCUAGAUAUCAGGAAGCACACAGGUGGCGAAGUCGGCACACUAGGCCGAUACUGACGUCGAUGCGCGAAAGUGCGGGGAGCGAACAG